GAUGAACGCUAGCGGGAGGCCUAACACAUGCAAGCCGAGCGGUAGAGUCUCUUCGGAGACUUGAGAGCGGCGCACGGGUGCGGAACACGUGUGCAACCUGCCUUUAUCUGGGGGAUAGCCUUUCGAAAGGAAGAUUAAUACCCCAUAAUAUACUGGAUGGCAUCAUCUGGUAUUGAAAACUCCGGUGGAUAGAGAUGGGCACGCGCAAGAUUAGAUAGUUGGUGAGGUAACGGCUCACCAAGUCAGCGAUCUUUAGGGGGCCUGAGAGGGUGAUCCCCCACACUGGUACUGAGACACGGACCAGACUCCUACGGGAGGCAGCAGUGAGGAAUAUUGGACAAUGGGUGAGAGCCUGAUCCAGCCAUCCCGCGUGAAGGACGACGGCCCUAUGGGUUGUAAACUUCUUUUGUAUAGGGAUAAACCUAGAUACGUGUAUCUAGCUGAAGGUACUAUACGAAUAAGCACCAGCUAACUCCGUG
rnacentral:rRNA from 1 species